GCCAUCGUUCCGGUCGUCUGUUUGUCUGGAUCGCAGGGAUAAAUCGAAUGAAAAAUUGCGCGCAACGGGAGUAAAGCUACUCCGAAAGUGAGAAAGAGAAAGAAACAAGGAGUGUACCAACCUUUGCCGACAUUUCGCACGUCUUCGAGAAACCCGUGGAAACCGUCGCGUUAUCUCCAACUCGCAACGUUAGAAACCCGUUCAGCCAAAAUAUAAAGUUUUCCCUUCGGGAAAAAAAAGAAGAGAGAAAAAACCAAAAAUGGAAAAAAAGAACACUAUCGCCCGGGGUCGUCUUCGGACGGGAUUACCAGAUCAGAGGUUGGUCCGUCCCUGGAAGGGGAGGAU
rnacentral:misc_RNA from 1 species